ACGCAGUAUGACUGUAAGUCGCUUUGGAUAAAAGCGUCUGCUGAAAGGAAUAUA
rfam:Salmo salar isolate Sally breed double haploid chromosome ssa20, whole genome shotgun sequence.